GCCUGACCUUAACAAAACAAUCAAAUAACUAAUUGUUCGCCGAAUAACUACGAGUAAAAACUUAAAAUUUAAAAGACUUGACGGUACUUCAUACCAACCUAGAGGAGCCUGUCUAAUAACCGAUGAUCCACGAUUAACCCCACCUACUCUAGCCCAACAGUCUAUAUACCGCCGUCGCCAGCUUACCUUGUGAAAGAAACAAAGUAAGCCCAAUAACACCCAAUUAACACGACAGGUCGAGGUGUAACUAAUGAGUCGGACCAAGAUGGGCUACAUUUUCUUAACCAGAAAAAACGAACAGACUAUGAAACUAGAAACUGAAGGCGGAUUUAGCAGUAAGAUGGGGAUAAACAUACCCAACCGAAACUAACGCAAUGAAGUGUGCACACACCGCCCGUCGAUCCCUGUAAAACAAACAAUCUAUCCAUAAUCAACCACCAAUAUCAAAACAGGGCAAGUCGUAACAUGGUAAGCGUACUGGAAAGUGUGCUUAGAUACAAAAAGUAGCUUACAACAAAGCACUCGACUUACAAUCGAACGACAUUACAUAAUAAUCUUUUUGAGCCGAAACAUAAAAAUAUACAAACAUCCCAUAAAAUAA
rnacentral:rRNA from 1 species